rnacentral:rRNA from 1 species
AUUGAACGCUGGCGGCAUGCCUAACACAUGCAAGUCGAACGGCAGCACGGUGUGUAGCAAUACACAUGGGUGGCGAGUGGCGGACGGGUGAGUAAUGCUUAGGAAUCUGCCCAAUGGUGGGGGAUAACUAACCGAAAGGUUAGCUAAUACCGCAUACGCCUUUACGGGGAAAGCGGGGGAUCGAAAGACCUCGCGCCGAUGGACGAGCCUAAGUCCGAUUAGCUAGUUGGUAGGGUAAUGGCCUACCAAGGCGACGGUCGGUAGCUGGUCUGAGAGGACGGCCAGCCACACUGGAACUGAGACACGGUCCAGACUCCUACGGGAGGCAGCAGUGGGGAAUAUUGGACAAUGGGGGAAACCCUGAUCCAGCAAUGCCGCGUGUGUGAAGAAGGCCUGCGGGUUGUAAAGCACUUUCGGUUGGGAAGAAAAGUUUGGCGCUAAUACCGCCGAACCUUGACGUUACUGACAGAAGAAGCACCGGCUAACUCUGUGCCAGCCGCCGCAGUAA